GACGAACGCUGGCGGCGUGCUUAACACAUGCAAGUCGAGCGGUAAGGCCCUUUCGGGGGUACACGAGCGGCGAACGGGUGAGUAACACGUGGGUGACCUGCCCUCAGCUCUGGGAUAAGCCUGGGAAACCGGGUCUAAUACUGGAUAUGACUCCAUGACGCAUGUUGUGGGGUGGAAAGCCUUGUGCGGCUGAGGAUGGGCCCGCGGCCUAUCAGCUUAUUGGUGGGGUGANGGCCUACCAAGGCGACGACGGGUAGCCGGCCUGAGAGGGCGACCGGCCAC
rnacentral:rRNA from 1 species